rnacentral:rRNA from 1 species
UACGUAGGGUGCGAGCGUUUGUCCGGAAUUAUUGGGCGUAAAGGGCGCGUAGGCGGCCACGCACGUCCGUUGUGAAAUCGCCCGGCUCAACUGGGCGGGGUCGGCGGAUACGGCGUGGCUGGAGCAAGCUAGGGGGCAAUGGAAUUCCCGGUGUAGUGGUGGAAUGCGUAGAUAUCGGGAGGAACACCAGUGGCGAAGGCGGUUGCCUGGAGCUUUGCUGACGCUGAGGCGCGAAAGCGUGGGGAGCGAUCCGG